GAAAACUUUCUCACAGAAGUGAAUUCUAAAGC
rnacentral:piRNA from 1 species